GAUGAACGCUGGCGGCGUGCUUAACACAUGCAAGUCGAACGGGAAAUAUUUCAUUGAGACUUCGGUGGAUUUGAUUUAUUUCUAGUGGCGGACGGGUGAGUAACGCGUGGGUAACCUGCCUUAUACAGGGGGAUAACAGUAAGAAAUGGCUGCUAAUACCGCAUAAGCGCACAGAGCUGCAUGGCACAGUGUGAAAAACUCCGGUGGUAUAAGAUGGACCCGCGUUGGAUUAGCUUGUUGGUGGGGGAACGGCCCACCAAGGCGACGAUCCAUAGCCGGCCUGAGAGGGUGAACGGCCACAUUGGGACUGAGACACGGCCCAGACUCCUACGGGAGGCAGCAGUGGGGAAUAUUGCACAAUGGGGGAAACCCUGAUGCAGCGACGCCGCGUGAAGGAAGAAGUAUCUCGGUAUGUAAACUUCUAUCGGCAGGGAAGAUAGUGACGGUACCUGACUAAGAAGCCCCGGCUAACUACGUGCCAGCCGCCGCAGUAA
rnacentral:rRNA from 1 species